GACGAACGCUGGCGGCGUGCUUAACACAUGCAAGUCGAACGGAAAGGCCCUGCUUUUGUGGGGUGCUCGAGUGGCGAACGGGUGAGUAACACGUGAGUAACCUGCCCUUGACUUUGGGAUAACUUCAGGAAACUGGGGCUAAUACCGGAUAGGAGCUUCUGCUGCAUGGUGGGGGUUGGAAAGUUUCGGCGGUUGGGGCUGGACUCGCGGCUUAUCCGCUUGUUGGUGGGGUAGUUGCUUACCAAGGCUUUGACGGGUAGCCGGCCUGAGAGGGUGACCGGCGACAUUGGGACUGAGAUACGGCGCAGACUCCUACGGGAGGCAGCAGUGGGGAAUAUUGCACAAUGGGCGGAAGCCUGAUGCAGCAACGCCGCGUGCGGGAUGACGGCCUACGGGUUGUAAACCGCUUUCGCCUGUGCCGAAGCGUGAGUGACGGUAAUGGGUAAAGAAGCACCGGCUAACUACGUG
rnacentral:rRNA from 1 species